CCCUUUGUCCCUCCGAUCCGCUGCCGGGCAGGUUCCUGAAAAGUUAAACACGCAAAAUAAAUAAGAGAGAAAGCGGGAAGAGGUCGGCUAGGGCCCCAGGGACUACGGGUGGAGAGAAAGGGAGGGAGGCGCCAGCUCCGGGGCUGGGACCAAUCCGACCCGGCAGAAGCAGGAAAGAGAAGCCCCGGGUCAGCUCGGACUACGAACACCCCACAAACCCCACCUCUCUGAUUUUUCCACUGUUUGGUACAUUCCCCCCCCCUUCCCCUGCGCUCAAACGAAUGCUGCAGCCACCGGUCGGGCAUUUUCCAGUGAACUGACGCCCUAAAAUACCGAUCGGGGAAAAAAUAAAUCCCCUCAAAUGGAAGAAAAACGAAAAGGACCCCUGCUCUUGGGAAGAAUUUAAAUUUUAAUGAUAGGUUCGGGGAUGCUUCUUCUGCCGAGUAAUAAGGGGAGGUGGGAGCAUGCUGGAAGGAGAGAGGCCCAGAGGAUGCAGGAAAACUAAGUGGGGAAGAGGAACCGAUUCCGCGUUCUUGGUGGCCCUCGGCACCACUCUCCAGAGACCCCAGCUCCCAGGACCCAAAAACUCGAUCUCUUUCCCCUCCCCCAGCUCCUCACAGUCCGAGCCCGAAGCUAUGCGUCCCACCGCGCCGCCGCAGCCGCCUCAGCCUCCCACUUUCACAACUGCCCGGGAACAGACGGCGUGACCUGCACCUGGAAAACUGGCACUGCCAACCAUUCUCUAGCCCAUAAAUCUUUCCCCUCGAUCUGAGCAGCUUCCUUCUCUGCAGAUGUUGGCAAUCAGGUUUGCAAAAUUUCAAAGUCAUUCAUUGCAGACGGGUGAAGGGAGGCAGGGCUGAUUGCAGCAAACACACACAAAAUCUUGUCACCUUAGCAAAGUCUACUGUCAUCACAGCAACCCCCUCUCCACACCCCAGAAAAAAAAGUCUUGAACCGCAGAAGGGAGACCUCCCCACAACUUUGCAGACAACAGCUGCAACAUCAAAGAAUCACAAUAGAACAAGGCAAUUCACCCCCACCCCAAGUCAGAACGGCCUACCACUCUGCUCUGCAGUCCUGGAGCUCAGUCCCGGUACACCCAGGAGUCUCGGAUAGGCAGAGUCUGACUGCCCAACAUCUGGGAAUCAGCCAGCGGUAGGAGCUCAGAGACUGAGACAGUCGGAAUGGGAGGGUGUCUAUAUGGCUGGGUGUUUAUUAAAUACACCAAAGCUUCCAAAAAUCUUAGUAAACAAAUCUUAAGGGGGAAAAGGCAGUGGGAAAAGAUCUUUUUUUAAAGAAAAGAAAAAAGUUUUACCGUUCUGGCUUUUGUGGGAUUUUUUUUUAUCUUAAAAGGUUCUAAAACUGAAAACACACUCUUCGGGUUGGACUAGCCUUUAAAAGUUAUCUUGGAAUUAACCCCCCCC